ACAGGUUGCAUUUAUCCAUAGAGAAAAACACUUUUUUGAUAAAAAUGCUUCAAGUCAAUCAUACAGGCCUGUACUGCUGUGGAGUCUGGCCUGACAGAACUGCUUACACUCUGCUACUUGUUGAAGAGUCACACUCGUGUGUAAGUGAGGGGAAGCCACUCUCCUGGAUAAUGCUGGCUGCAGGCUGUGGGCUAUUUGCUUUAUACAACCUCAUUGUGACAACUGUAGCCUGUUACUUUGGUAGGAAACUGAAAAAUGCAGAGACGGAGACUCAGAGCGAGUACUACAACACAAGGCCUGGAGAAUUCAGAAGAGCCAGAUGAGUUCAGAAUCCAGAUCCAGCUGCCCAAACCAAACGACCAAGAUGAUAAAAGCGGGAUCAUAUACAAUCAUAUGCUACUACAGUUUUUGAGUGCUUAUAUUGGCAUAUCUAGCCUAUAUAGCAUCUAACCAGAAGUGCAAAUUGGCUAACAUAUAACAUAUAAUGUAACAUAUAAAUAAGUGCAAAAUGUAUGUGUGAAUGAGCUUAAUGAAGUAGAAUAUUUCAUGUGCAGGUAUGGAACAAUAUUAUGCAUAAAUGGAAAACAGCUAAAGUUAGCAGUGCAGAAUUAAAUAAAGAAAAAAGUGUGAACAGACAUUAAACAAUGUGAACAAUAUGCAGUUUAAGUGAGAUGCAUUUAUAUAUGCAGACUGAGUUGUGAAUGCAGUAAAUAGUUCAGUGUAUUUUAAUGUAUUUAAUAUUAUUAUUUUACUAAAUCUGUAACUAUUCAUUGUUGGAAUGCUGUAACAAUUUUCUCCUUGUAAAACUCUGUUUGCAAAUGAUAUCCUUAAUAUCAAAAUGACCAGUGUAAGAAUACUCUUAUGUAUAAAACACCAGUGCAGAUUAUAGACUUGCUAUAUAAACAGUAUCAAAUAAAAUAAAACAGGAAUUAUGUUA